CAGCGUUAUUUGUACUACUGGUUUCUGUUUUUAUCAAACGAAGUUCUAGCCAAACGGGAUUGCAGUAUAGCAGUUAUCAUGGCAGCUUGAUCUCCCAUCUUAUCUAGACAAGAAGCCCUGUAGAGCUGAUGUAGAGUUUGCACAACAUCUCCUAGUUUCCCGGCUACAUCCAGUUGGAAUAGGUGUUCUGUUUUACCUCUUACUGUUUUAUAGGGCGCAAUAACAUUUCUUUCUUUAAUGAGAAAAACCUGAUUACAC
rnacentral:lncRNA from 1 species